GGCCUACGGGGGGCAGCAGUGGGGAAUAUUGCACAAUGGGGGAAACCCUGAUGCAGCGACGCCGCGUGAGUGAAGAAGUAUUUCGGUAUGUAAAGCUCUAUCAGCAGGGAAGAAAAUGACGGUACCUGACUAAGAAGCCCCGGCUAACUACGGGCCAGCAGCCGCGGUAAUACGUAGGGGGCAAGCGUUAUCCGGGUUUACUGAGUGUAAAGGGAGCGUAGACGGCGCGGCAAGUCUGAAGUGAAAGGCAGGGGCUUAACCC
rnacentral:rRNA from 1 species